CGUAGGGUGCAAGCGUUAAUCGGAAUUACUGGGCGUAAAGCGUGCGCAGGCGGUUGUGUAAGUCUGUCGUGAAAUCCCCGGGCUCAACCUGGGAAUUGCGAUGGAGACUGCACGGCUAGAGUGUGUCAGAGGGGGUAGAAUUCCACGUGUAGCAGUGAAAUGCGUAGAUAUGUGGAGGAACACCGAUGGCGAAGGCAGCCCCCUGGGAUAACACUGACGCUCAUGCACGAAAGCGUGGGGAGCAAACAGGAUUAGAUACCCUGGUAGUCCACGCCCUAAACGAUGUCUACUAGUUGUCGGGUCUUAAUUGACUUGGUAACGCAGCUAACGCGUGAAGUAGACCGCCUGGGGAGUACGGUCGCAAGAUUA
rnacentral:rRNA from 1 species